AUUUGUUACAACACACACAGAGUCACAAAACCUUGAACACAUAACUCACACAAACACAUGUCCUUAUGCGCAUUCAUAGAAACAUAUUUGUUUCAGCACUCUAGGACAAUAUCAUAAUCAUUCAGGAGUCGAAGUCAUAAAAACUUCCAAAGCUCAUUCAGCUGACACUAAAUUCACACACACACACACACACACACACACACACACACACACUCAUUGUACCAUAUAUUCUGCUCCGGGAGCUUCAAAUCCACUUGACACUACACAGGAAGAGAACUUGCCCAAAGGAAGAGCAACUGCCCUUGGGGGGCAACAGCCCACUGGGACAUCGCAAGAGCAAGCAGAGAAGGUCAGCUGAGAGCUGAAUUCCCUUCCAUAAUGAUGUCUGGGAGAGGGAACAGAAGGAGGAGACAGACAGGAAGAACAGGCAGAGACAGACCCACCAUAGAGACAGACCCACCAUAGAGACUAAGACGAAGAGGGCACUCUUGUUCCAGCUCCCACUGGCAGACACUCUUUUCAGGAAACCACGGAACAAGCAAAUCCAUUAAAAAGGACACAUUUUGGAGGAAUGUCUUUCAUCACCUUGUGAAAUAACUGUAUAAGAAACAGGAUACUGUAUAGUGUGCCUUUCAGUUCUAGAAAAAUAAAUCUCUUCAGGACAAAACAAGACCCUGUUCGUCCUGUCGUGGUUUAUUUUCCGAUACUGACCGGCAGACUGUAUAUUAUCCCUUACUAAUAGAUGACUGUGAUACUUAGUUAGAUGGUCACAUGGCUCAUGUAGUUGAUGUUAGUCUGGGAAGCGAAUAGACAACAGAGGGGAGCAGGGGGUUUGGCUAACUGACUGAGUAGCUUCCUUCUGGGAUGGAGCCGUAGCGUGAGGGAGCCGGCAGAGCUCCAUCGAAGCAACGCUAACAGCUUCCAGCUUAGUCACGUACAGCAAGAAGGGCAACACAACUCACACACACACACUCACACAUACUCACACACAACACACACACAAACACAUACUCACACAGCUAAGUUACAUACAGCAAGAAGGGUAACACAACUCACACACACACACUCACACAUAAACACAUACUAUUACUCACACACAAACACACAUACUUACACACAAAUACACACUCACACACACAAACACAUACUCACACAGCUAAGUUACGUACAGCAAGAAGGGCAACACAACUCACACACAAGCACAUAUGCUCACACGACCCCCACCCCGCGAUACUGUGAUA